UACGUAGGGGGCAAGCGUUGUUCGGAAUUACUGGGCGUAAAGGGCGCGUAGGCGGCAUGGCAAGUCGGGAGUGAAAGGCCUGGGCUCAACCGAGGAACUGCUUUCGAGACUGCCAAGCUAGAGUGCGGAAGGGGCAUCUGGAAUUCCCAGUGUAGCGGUGAAAUGCGUAGAUAUUGGGAAGAACACCGGUGGCGAAAGCGCUCUACUGGACUGCAACUGACACUCAGGGACGAAAGCUAGGGGAGCGAAUGGG
rnacentral:rRNA from 1 species